GUGCCAGCAGCCGCGGUAAUACGAAGGGUGCAAGCGUUACUUGGAAUUACUGGGCGUAAAGCGUGCGUAGGUGGUCGUUUAAGUCCGUUGUGAAAGCCCUGGGCUCAACCUGGGAACUGCAGUGGAUACUGGGCGACUAGAAUGUGGUAGAGGGUAGCGGAAUUCCUGGUGUAGCAGUGAAAUGCGUAGAGAUCAGGAGGAACAUCCAUGGCGAAGGCAGCUACCUGGACCAACAUUGACACUGAGGCACGAAAGCGUGGGGAGCAAACAGGAUUAGAAACCCCCGUAGUCC
rnacentral:rRNA from 1 species